CCCCUCCGUAGAAAAUCCACAGCACGUUCGGAUCCGCCUUAUAUUCACUCCAGGUAAUUGUUUUAUUUUACUGCAAUUUUAGGUUUUUUCCUUUAAUUUUUCUAGGACCGACACCCUUUGAGAUGAAUUCGGGUCCCUUUGUUUGUUCCAGGGAUCCUGGACAAUCAACAUAUUCUUAUUAUGAUGCCAAACCUAAUACGGAGUAUUACAUAUACUCCAAAGACCAAGUUCAUGAUCAAGGUUAUUGUAGAUGAGAACUUGAAAGCUACAAGCAUAAGAACAAGUUCAUUUCGAUAUAUAUGGAGUAUCUUAGUCUUUGAUGUACUAGAAAUGUUUACCUUUAUAUGUAUAAAUUUUUGGAAUUUUGCUUAGGCUACGAAUUACGUAAUGACUUUAAUUAUUUAUUGGUAAAUUUUUGUGGAGUUAAUAAAAUCAACAUUUAUUUUCAUGAAA